UACGGGGGGAGCAAGCGUUGUUCGGAUUUACUGGGCGUAAAGGGGCGCGUAGGCGGUCGUGACAAGUCACUUGUGAAAUCUCCGGGCUUAACUCGGAACGGUCAAGUGAUACUGUCGGACUAGAGUACAGAAGGGGCAACUGGAAUUCUCGGUGUAGCGGUGAAAUGCGUAGAUAUCAGGAGGAACACCGGUGGCGAAGGCGGGACUCUGGGCCGAUACUGACGCUGAGGAGCGAAAGCGUGGGGAGCAAACAGG
rnacentral:rRNA from 1 species